rnacentral:tRNA from 1 species
GCAAACGCAGCCGAAUAGGACUAAGCAUCUGAGCGCGCUUUAAUAAACAGAUGGAUGAGAAAAUAUCUCGUCUUGUAGGUUCGAAUCCUACCGUUUGCA